UACGUAGGUGGCAAGCGUUGUCCGGAUUUCUUGGGUUUAAAAGGUGCGUAGGUGGUCCUAUAAGUCAGUGCUGAAAUAUCCCGGCUUAACCGGGAGGGUGGCAUUGAUACUGCAGGACUUGAGUAAAGUUGAGGUAGGCGGAAUUGACGGUGUAGCGGUGAAAUGCUUAGAUAUCGUCAAGAACACCUAUUGCGAAGGCAGCUUACUAAGCUUUAACUGACACUGAGGCACGAAAGUGUGGGGAUCAAACAGG
rnacentral:rRNA from 1 species